rnacentral:rRNA from 1 species
GAUGAACGCUGGCGGCGUGCCUAACACAUGCAAGUCGAGCGAUUCUCUUCGGAGAAGAGCGGCGGACGGGUGAGUAACGCGUGGGUAACCUGCCCUGUACACACGGAUAACAUACCGAAAGGUAUGCUAAUACGAGAUAAUAUGCUUUUAUCGCAUGGUAGAAGUAUCAAAGCUUUUGCGGUACAGGAUGGACCCGCGUCUGAUUAGCUAGUUGGUAAGGUAACGGCUUACCAAGGCGACGAUCAGUAGCCGACCUGAGAGGGUGAUCGGCCACAUUGGAACUGAGACACGGUCCAAACUCCUACGGGAGGCAGCAGUGGGGAAUAUUGCACAAUGGGCGAAAGCCUGAUGCAGCAACGCCGCGUGAGCGAUGAAGGCCUUCGGGUCGUAAAGCUCUGUCCUCAAGGAAGAUAAUGACGGUACUUGAGGAGGAAGCCCGGCUAACUACGUGCCAGCAGCCGCGGUAAAACGUAGACGUG